CAGAGUUUGAAAGGCUCUUUAAUAGCAAGCGAAUGGUAAUUACAUGGUCGGAUGAGGUCCUCACUCUCAGGGGAGGGAGGAGGGAGCAGAGGUGGACAGGGUGCAGUAUAGGAUUUACACUGUUUGAAGCAUCUAACGAAGGGCAACAGUUUUUGGCAACCCAAUUCACAGUUUUGUAAUUUACAAGAGAUUUCUUUGAAAGGAAAUAGGAAGGCAAAGAAAGCACACAUACCCUACCGGCAACACUUCUUGCCUAAAAAAAAAAAAAAACAACAACCAAAAAACAAAAACCCAACAACUAUUCCUUGCUUUUGCUUCUUGUGUAGAUGACUAAAUUUUGCUCUCAUGCUCAAAUUAAGACUGGAUCACGGAUAGUGAAGAUCUGCCCUAGCAUUGAAGAUUUACUUCCUCCUCUUCAGAGCUGACAUUUGUACUGCGCACUACUCUUAUCUUUAUCUGCCUAGGUGUCAGAAGGGGCUUAGUAAAAAAUGAAACUUGAGAAACAAAACAAAACAGAAAAACAGGGAAAGGCAGUUUACAAAGAACAGACUGUCAGCUUUCUGUCUGGUAUCAAACAACUUGAAUACAGCUCUAAGUAAAUUAAAACAUUUAUUUUUAUGUGGCCUGGCAUCUACUUUUAAUCGCUUGUGCCUAUUCAGCCUUAUAGUGCUUUAAAUGGGGUUUCUAACAUGAAAUGCUCAUGGGUACUAUAUUUUCGUAAUCCAGAUUUAAAUAAAAAUAUAAAAGACAACAUAUUAUGUUAAAUAAUAUGUUGUCUUUUAUAUUUGCCCAGUGAGCAGAAGCUAUAGAUAUUUUACCAUGGACACCCAUUGCCAUGGACACCACAGGCUACCAGCAUUCUGGCAGGUUUCAGAAUUACUCUCUAUAAAAUCUAAAAGACUUCAGCUUCUUGUGUCAUACCUGUUAUCACUAAACUGGGAGAAGUGACUGGGUCUUUAUGAAAAAGGAUCAGUUUUUAAUUCAAAGAAAUUUUAGGCUUCUCCGAAGACUGGGUGAUCAGCAAUGGCAUCUCUUUGGAGCUAACACCCACUGCAGGGGAGAGGGGUCUGUGAUCGCUUAAGCAUUAAUUGUGCUCUUUCUACAACCUUGAAGCACAGUGAGGAGGUUGGCCCUGCCCUCUGGCCUGAGGGGGCACUCCUGCUUCCUCCCCGCUGCCAAGGACACCCAAGUUUGCUUUGUGAUUUACCUGCCGGGUGCCUGGAGCCCCUCUCAGAUCUGCCUGCAUUUGGGAAAGACAGGCUUCUCAGGCUGGCAGCUGGUUUUACUGAAGGAAAGAGCCCUACCAGAUGAGCAGGGUUCCUGUUGGUCUCCUUGGCUGGGGGGCACUUUUAAAGUGGCAAAGCCAUGCCAACACAAGGCAUUGCCUCUCAACAUACAGUCAGUUCCUUUGAGGAAAGCAGGCCCCCAGUGAGACAGCCGUGAAAAUGAAAACAGUUUUCCUGGGGCUCAGGUGGUAACUGUCAGACCCCAACUCUCCCAUUCUCCCUUAUUCAUCUCCUCCCACCCCAAGUUAAGUCCUGCCUAUUCCUUCAUGCCUCUCUGUAAGAAAUCAGAUCUGUUCAUACCAGUUUCCCAACUUGUGAAUUUUAACAUGCAAAGCCUAUUCCUAAAAUAUAAAUUCCAAUGACACUUGGGACCACAGCUCCCCUAGGUCCAUGUACAUUGUGCUCUUAUGAAACAGAAACAAUAUUCAGAAAUAUAUUGUGCUAGAGACGGUUUCUGUUUAUACAUGAAAGAUGACAGCAACUAUAAAGGAGAGAGGUUUUCGUUGAAGUACACUGGAAAUCUAAUUCUGGCACCAGGACACAAGGAGGAUCCCUACAUAAGAGACUUUUCCAUUGCACCAUGUGCUGCUUUGGGCCUGGGAGACAGGAGUGGACACCUGAGUGCAGGUGAAUCCACAGUGGUGACAGGCACUACACGGGGCCUCACCUCCCUCCCUGGCUCCGUACUUCACUCUGAUUCCUUGACGUCUGCUCGAUAUGGUGAUCAGGCUGCGGAAACCAGGCGGCCAUAAGAACAAUGUCUCUAGGAUUCACUCAAACCCAGGAUCACGGUUUUGUAAUGUUAUCAAGGCAUGAUUUUGGAUUUCAGAGCUGGCCCAGUGAACAACAAGCAAUCAAGCAUUCCUUUCUCUUUCUUUCUCUCUCUCACAUAUACACACACACUCUUUCUCUCUCACGUUACUUUCACUGUCACUUUCUCUCUACUGGAUAACAGGCCAAAAGUACUGGCACUCAUCUUUCACUUUCUUCCAGCUAUUCUUCCUACACAUCUCUCACUCUCAGGUAAGUUAAACAUACACCACUUCCAAAGCCCCAGUCUGCCACAGCACAAAGAAAAGCCAUGUCUCCACAGGCAGAGCAUGUACAGCUGAGAUAAGUCCUCUGGGGCCUCACCUUUCCCUUUCCUCUAAGGAAGAGAAUUUCAUCUGCCCCAUGAGAUCGAGCCCUCAGGGGCUUGGGCACUCACAGAUCAACAUGUUCUAAGGUAGUGCAGGGGUCAGCAUCCUAAAGGCAGCACCUUGGCAAGAUCCCACAUGUAUUUUCUUCUCGAAUCCCUAAAAGUUUCCUUGACUGUUGCUCCUUACUCACACACACACAUAAGGCAGGCACAGAAGGGCAGUGUUUACAGCUGGAAGGGCAAAUGCCCCUUGUUCACAGACCAGUUAGACUUGUCAAGGUCACACAGUCCUUGGCCGACUUGAACUAGAACCCAGGUGUCUCUCCUGCGUCCAAGGUCAACACUCCUCCUCCCACACCGCUGCCACCUCCUGGUGAGUAAAUGUGUAAGUCUGUGAAGGGUCAGGGAUGUGUUUCACCAUGGAACCAUUUCCAUAACAGAAACCACAGGCUGCCAGGCUCACUGACUGCAGCUUUGCACCAUGCACAGCCCUGCUUAGAGCAGCCACAGCGCAGGAAGAAGUGAGUGUGUGGGCAAGUGUGUGAGCACGAGAAGGGAUGUGCACACAUUCAGAAAAAGGAAGUCUUAGAAGAAACAAUUCGAUCUGCUAAUGCUGUUUGGGAUUUUGCUAUGGAGAUUAAGUAACAUACAGACAUGUUCUCUGUUUCCUACCCCUGGUGCAAAACAAAGCCCAGAAUUCUCAUCAGCCCACAGAAUGGCCGAGUCUAUCUAUCUCCACUCAAUUUUUAUAAACAGAGAACAUUAACAUGAUAAUACCAACAUGUAUUUGGUCAAAGUCUAAACACUUUUUUGAUAAAAUACAUUUUAUGUUAAUGUCCAUUCCAUUUCCAAACAUACAUAAAUUUAGAUUUUAAGCUUCAACGUAUAAAAUUUCAGUUUACCUUCCAAUGGAGCAAGCUAGUGAAGCUUCCUCAUUUCACUUGCAGAAGUCAUUCUUGCGGCUUACUGCAUUAAAGUGGAGGUUACGAAACCUGGGCGACACCUGUGUAAUAUACAGCUCACAAUCACCUUUGCUCAUGAAUGGAGCCAAUCAGAACACAGGCAGGGCUGCAAAGGGCAGUAUAUGCUCACCCCAAUGGAUGAAACACUAAGUUGUGUUUUACUAAUAGGCUACUUGGAAGGAAAUUCAUUUUACUUGAAAUUAACCUUUAGUAUGACUUUUCAAGAAAAGAACACAAAGUGGGUACUGAAGCACAGAUGGAAAUCACUGUCCUAUUAUUUUACCCGAUGACUUAAAACUGGAGUACGCUGUUUUACCACGAGCAGCCGAACUCCUCACAGCACCAAUCAAUUAAACAGAAAAUGUCGAGACAAUCAGGUUUACACCGACAUGCCUGGAAGAUAUACAAGACUCCCAUAAGUUCUGUGGCCUCUGCUGCUACUGCUUGUUUUUAAUUCAAAACUUUCACAACCUAACAGGCACAUGUGUGACUGUUUAAACGUACCCACCCCAGAUGCUAGGUUUAAUCUAGUGUUGUAAAGGAGGCAUUCCGCAUCCUAGGUUAACUAAAACCAGGGAUGCAGAAGGGUCCAGGAAUAAUUCCAUGUUAGCAUUACAAAGGAUGUCCCCAGUAAGUAAUUGUUGGCUAAACGAUAACAGCAGUAUUUCCAGUUAUUACAGAAAAACCCCACUGAAGCGGGAGUGAAAUUCAGGUCACUUCUGAGCAAAGCUCAUCACAGAUAUUUUGUGGUCGUUAAAAAGGUAUUUCAUUUUAAUUUGGAUGCUGGGAGCCAGAUGUCCUAUUUCGAAGUGCUAAUGCAAAAUGCUAACCCAGGAGGGGCAGUGACCCCACCUAGGUUACUGUGGGGCUCACUCUCCUUCUCAGGGGAGCCCCCAGAUUUACUGCUGGCUGACCCCCAUCUGGGGGUGGUCCGCCUCUGGCUCCUCUUCUUCCACGUCAGCACUGUACUCUUCAAACGCAUCGUCAUCUGCAUCCGGAAGCCCCA
rnacentral:lncRNA from 1 species